GGCCGUGUAGCGUAAUGGUUAACGCGCUAAUUUCCGGCGUAGAUCAGAUAGCUAGAGAUUCCGAGUUCGAGUCUCGGCAUGGUCG